rnacentral:rRNA from 1 species
CCUACGGGUGGCAGCAGUGAGGAAUAUUGGUCAAUGGACGAGCGUCUGAACCAGCCAAGUAGCGUGAAGGAUGACUGCCCUAUGGGUUGUAAACUUCUUUUAUAAAGGAAUAAAACGAGCCACGUGUGCCUUUUUUCAUGUACUUUAUGAAUAAGGAUCGGCUAACUCCGUGCCAGCAGCCGCGGUAAUACGGAGGAUCCGAGCGUUAUCCGGAUUUAUUGGGUUUAAAGGGAGCGUAGAUGGGUUGUAAAGUCAGUGGUGAAAGUUUGCGGCUCAACCGUAAAAUUGCAAUUGAUACUGGCAGUCGUGAGUACAGUUGAGGUAGGCGGAAGGCGUGGUGUAGCGGUGAAAUGCUUAGAUAUCACGAAGAACCCCGAUUGCGAAGGCAGCUUACUAAACUGUGACUGACAUUGAUGCUCGAAAGUGUGGGUAUCAAACAGGAUUAGAUACCCGUGUAGUC